UACGAAGGGGGCUAGCGUUGCUCGGAAUCACUGGGCGUAAAGGGUGCGUAGGCGGGUUUUUAAGUCAGAGGUGAAAUCCUGGAGCUCAACUCCAGAACUGCCUUUGAUACUGGAAGUCUUGAGUAUGGGAGAGGUGAGUGGAACUGCGAGUGUAGAGGUGAAAUUCGUAGAUAUUCGCAAGAACACCAGUGGCGAAGGCGGCUCACUGGCCCAUUACUGACGCUGAGGCACGAAAGCGUGGGAGCAAACAGGG
rnacentral:rRNA from 1 species